GAUAGGUUAUUGCACAUUUAUACAGGAUACUACUCAACUACAAAUAUGUUUAAUUUUGUAAACGUUUUUUAUAUAUGAAAAGUUGUGCUCUUUCAAGUUCUAUAGAGGAUUAACACAAUCAUAAAUUAUAUGAAAAAUUUCCGUUUUGUUUUAGGAGUAUUUAAUUUUAGUUGGUCCCUUUUAAUUUAAUUUUUCAUUUUU
rnacentral:lncRNA from 1 species